rnacentral:rRNA from 1 species
CCCCUUCGGGGGUACUCGAGUGGCGAACGGGUGAGUAACACGUGGGUGAUCUGCCCUGCACUUCGGGAUAAGCCUGGGAAACUGGGUCUAAUACCGGAUAGGACCACUUGGCGCAUGCCUUGUGGUGGAAAGCUUUUGCGGUGUGGGAUGGGCCCGCGGCCUAUCAGCUUGUUGGUGGGGUCACGGCCUACCAAGGCUCCGACGGGUAGCCGGCCUGAGAGGGUGUCCGGCCACACUGGGACUGAGAUACGGCCCAGACUCCUACGGGAGGCAGCAGUGGGGAAUAUUGCACAAUGGGCGCAAGCCUGAUGCAGCGACGCCGCGUGGGGGAUGACGGCCUUCGGGUUGUAAACCUCUUUCACCAUCGACGAAGGUCCGGGUUUUCUCGGAUUGACGGUAGGUGGAGAAGAAGCACCGGCCAACUACGUGCCAGCAGCCGCGGUAAUACGUAGGGUGCGAGCGUUGUCCGGAAUUACUGGGCGUAAAGAGCUCGUAGGUGGUUUGUCGCGUUGUUCGUGAAAACUCACGGCUUAACUGUGAGCGUGCGGGCGAUACGGGCAGACUGGAGUACUGCAGGGGAGACUGGAAUUCCUGGUGUAGCGGUGGAAUGCGCAGAUAUCAGGAGGAACACCGGUGGCGAAGGCGGGUCUCUGGGCAGUAACUGACGCUGAGGAGCGAAAGCGUGGGGAGCGAACAGGAUUAGAUACCCUGGUAGUCCACGCCGUAAACGGUGGGUACUAGGUGUGGGUUUCCUUCCUUGGGAUCCGUGCCGUAGCUAACGCAUUAAGUACCCCGCCUGGGGAGUACGGCCGCAAGGCUAAAACUCAAAGGAAUUGACGGGGGCCCGCACAAGCGGCGGAGCAUGUGGAUUAAUUCGAUGCAACGCGAAGAACCUUACCUGGGUUUGACAUGCACAGGACGCUGGUAGAGAUAUCAGUUCCCUUGUGGCCUGUGUGCAGGUGGUGCAUGGCUGUCGUCAGCUCGUGUCGUGAGAUGUUGGGUUAAGUCCCGCAACGAGCGCAACCCUUGUCUCAUGUUGCCAGCGGGUAAUGCCGGGGACUCGUGAGAGACUGCCGGGGUCAACUCGGAGGAAGGUGGGGAUGACGUCAAGUCAUCAUGCCCCUUAUGUCCAGGGCUUCACACAUGCUACAAUGGCCGGUACAAAGGGCUGCGAUGCCGCAAGGUUAAGCGAAUCCUUUAAAGCCGGUCUCAGUUCGGAUCGGGGUCUGCAACUCGACCCCGUGAAGUCGGAGUCGCUAGUAAUCGCAGAUCAGCAACGCUGCGGUGAAUACGUUCCCGGGCCUUGUACACACCGCCCGUCACGUCAUGAAAGUCGGUAACACCCGAAGCCAGUGGCCUAACCCUUUGGGAGGGAGCUGUCGAAGGUGGGAUCGGC